rnacentral:rRNA from 1 species
AUUGAACGCUGGCGGCAGGCCUAACACAUGCAAGUCGAGCGUGAAAGUCCUUCGGGAUGAGUAAAGCGGCGGACGGGUGAGUAACGCGUAGGAAUCUACCUAAUAGUGGGGGAUAACGUUUCGAAAGGAACGCUAAUACCGCAUACGUUCUGAGGAAGAAAGCAGGGGAUCGCAAGACCUUGCGCUAUUAGAUGAGCCUGCGUCCGAUUAGCUAGUUGGUGGGGUAAAGGCCUACCAAGGCGACGAUCGGUAACUGGUCUGAGAGGAUGAUCAGUCACACUGGAACUGAGACACGGUCCAGACUCCUACGGGAGGCAGCAGUGGGGAAUAGUUGGACAAUGGGCGGAAAGCCUGAUCCAGCAAUGCCGCGUGCAGGAAGAAGGCC